ACGGGACCCGCACAAGCGGUGGAUGAUGUGGAUUAAUUCGAUGCAACGCGAAGAACCUUACCUACCCUUGACAUGUCCGGAACUUGCCAGAGAUGGCUUGGUGCCCGAAAGGGAAUCGGAACACAGGUGCUGCAUGGCUGUCGUCAGCUCGUGUCGUGAGAUGUUGGGUUAAGUCCCGCAACGAGCGCAACCCUUAUCAUUAGUUGCCAUCAUUUGGUUGGGCACUCUAAUGAGACUGCCGGUGACAAACCGGAGGAAGGUGGGGAUGACGUCAAGUCCUCAUGGCCCUUAUGGGUAGGGCUUCACACGUCAUACAAUGAUCGGUACAGAGGGUUGCCAACCCGCGAGGGGGAGCUAAUCCCACAAAGCCGAUCGUAGUCCGGAUCGCAGUCUGCAACUCGACUGCGUGAAGUCGGAAUCGCUAGUAAUCGUGGAUCAGCAUGUCACGGUGAAUACGUUCCCGGGUCUU
rnacentral:rRNA from 1 species